GAGGGUAUAGCUCAGUGGUAGAGCGCAUGCUCAGCAUGCGCAAGGUCCUGGGUUCAGUCCCCAGUACCUCCU
rnacentral:tRNA from 1 species